rnacentral:rRNA from 1 species
AACCCAGUGUGUUUCGACACACUAUCAUUAACUGAAUCCAUAGGUUAAUGAGGCGAACCGGGGGAACUGAAACAUCUAAGUACCCCGAGGAAAAGAAAUCAACCGAGAUUCCCCCAGUAGCGGCGAGCGAACGGGGAGCAGCCCAGAGCCUGAAUCAGUGUGUGUGUUAGUGGAAGCGUCUGGAAAGGCGCGCGAUACAGGGUGACAGCCCCGUACACAAAAAUGCACAUACUGUGAGCUCGAUGAGUAGGGCGGGACACGUGGUAUCCUGUCUGAAUAUGGGGGGACCAUCCUCCAAGGCUAAAUACUCCUGACUGACCGAUAGUGAACCAGUACCGUGAGGGAAAGGCGAAAAGAACCCCGGCGAGGGGAGUGAAAAAGAACCUGAAACCGUGUACGUACAAGCAGUGGGAGCCUCUUUUAUGGGGUGACUGCGUACCUUUUGUAUAAUGGGUCAGCGACUUAUAUUCUGUAGCAAGGUUAACCGAAUAGGGGAGCCGAAGGGAAACCGAGUCUUAACCGGGCGUUAAGUUGCAGGGUAUAGACCCGAAACCCGGUGAUCUAGCCAUGGGCAGGUUGAAGGUUGGGUAACACUAACUGGAGGACCGAACCGACUAAUGUUGAAAAAUUAGCGGAUGACUUGUGGCUGGGGGUGAAAGGCCAAUCAAACCGGGAGAUAGCUGGUUCUCCCCGAAAGCUAUUUAGGUAGCGCCUCGUGAAUUCAUCUCCGGGGGUAGAGCACUGUUUCGGCAAGGGGGUCAUCCCGACUUACCAACCCGAUGCAAACUGCGAAUACCGGAGAAUGUUAUCACGGGAGACACACGGCGGGUGCUAACGUCCGUCGUGAAGAGGGAAACAACCCAGACCGCCAGCUAAGGUCCCAAAGUCAUGGUUAAGUGGGAAACGAUGUGGGAAGGCCCAGACAGCCAGGAUGUUGGCUUAGAAGCAGCCAUCAUUUAAAGAAAGCGUAAUAGCUCACUGGUCGAGUCGGCCUGCGCGGAAGAUGUAACGGGGCUAAACCAUGCACCGAAGCUGCGGCAGCGACACUGUGUGUUGUUGGGUAGGGGAGCGU